CGCGUAGGCGGACCAGAAAGUUGGGGUGAAAUCCCGGGGCUCAACCCCGGAACUGCCUCCAAAACUCCUGGUCUUGAGUUCGAGAGAGGUGAGUGGAAUUCCGAGUGUAGAGGUGAAAUUCGUAGAUAUUCGGAGGAACACCAGUGGCGAAAACGGCUCACUGGCUCGAUACUGACGCUGAGGUGCGAAAGUGUGGGGAGCAAACA
rnacentral:rRNA from 1 species